rnacentral:rRNA from 1 species
UACAGAGGGUGCUAGCGUUGUUCGGAAUUAUUGGGCGUAAAGGGCGCGUAGGCGGCCCAGUGUGUCGGGUGUGAAAGCCCACCUCUUAAAGGUGGAAUUGCAUUCGAAACUACCGGGCUGGAGUGUCGGAGAGGAUGGCGGAAUUCCUGGUGUAGAGGUGAAAUUCGUAGAUAUCAGGAGGAACACCGGUGGCGAAGGCGGCCAUCUGGACGACAACUGACGCUGAGG